rnacentral:rRNA from 1 species
AUACGGGGGGUGCAAGCGUUAUUCGGAUUUAUUGGGCGUAAAGGGCGCGUAGGCGGUCUUGUAAGUCAGAUGUGAAAGCCCGGGGCUCAACCCCGGAAGUGCAUUUGAUACUGCUUGACUUGAGUAUGGGAGAGGGAAGUGGAAUUCCUGGUGUAGAGGUGAAAUUCGUAGAUAUCAGGAGGAACACCGGUGGCGAAGGCGGCUUCCUGGACCAAUACUGACGCUGAGGCGCGAAGGCGUGGGGAGC